rnacentral:lncRNA from 1 species
UCUUAUUUUCCGUAUUUCAUAUUCUUGUGAUUUUAUUCUAUUAUUUCCUAUUCUUUAUUUCGGUUAUGUCAUCCAUCCCUUUGUUUAUUAUCCUUAUCUUGAGCCGGGGGUCUAUUGGAAACAGUCUCUCUAAUUCUUCGAAGAUAGCGGUAUGGACUGCGUACAUCUUACCUUCCUAGACCCCACGCUGUGGAAAUACACUGGGUGUUGUUGGAACUGCGAGU